rnacentral:rRNA from 1 species
GACGAACGCUGGCGGCGUGCCUAAUACAUGCAAGUUGAGCGCUGAAGGUUGGUACUUGUACCGACUGGAUGAGCAGCGAACGGGUGAGUAACGCGUGGGGAAUCUGCCUUUGAGCGGGGGACAACAUUUGGAAACGAAUGCUAAUACCGCAUAAAAACUUUAAACACAAGUUUUAAGUUUGAAAGAUGCAAUUGCAUCACUCAAAGAUGAUCCCGCGUUGUAUUAGCUAGUUGGUGAGGGAAAGGCUCACCAAGGCGAUGAUACAUAGCCGACCUGAGAGGGUGAUCGGCCACAUUGGGACUAAGACACGACCCAAACUCCUACGGGAGGUAGCAGUAGGGAAUCUUCGGCAAUGGACGAAAGUCUGACCGAGCAACGCCGCGUGAGUGAAGAAGGUUUUCGGAUCGUAAAACUCUGUUGGUAGAGAAGAACGUUGGUGAGAGUGGAAAGCUCAUCAAGUGACGGUAACUACCCAGAAAGGGACGGCUAACUACGUGCCAGCAGCCGCGGUAA